UACGAAGGGGGCUAGCGUUGUUCGGAAUUACUGGGCGUAAAGCGCACGUAGGCGGAUCGUUAAGUCGGGGGUGAAAUCCUGGAGCUCAACUCCAGAACUGCCUUCGAUACUGGCGAUCUUCGAGUCCGGGAGAGGUGAGUGGAACUCCGAGUGUAGAGGUGAAAUUCGUAGAUAUUCGGAAGAACACCAGUGGCGAAGGCGGCUCACUGGCCCGGUACUGACGCUGAGGUGCGAAAGCGUGGGGAGCAAACAGG
rnacentral:rRNA from 1 species